UUACAAGCUUAAAUGGAAUUGAUGGCAGAGCCAAGUGAAAUCUGUUUUUAUUCAAUUAAGCUCCCUGCAGAAAUGGCUCAGUGGUCACCCAAAAGCAUCUCGCAAUCAAACAAUGAGAAGGGGAUGCCCCUGGUACCUACACAUACAGGAUUUUGGUUCUUCCAUGGUUAUAUAUAGAUCUCACCUCUUCUCAGACACAGGGGGCUGAUACAAAGAAGACAAACUGGUCCUUGAUCGAUCUCUGAUGGAUUUAAACUGAGAUAUUUGAUGAGCAAAUAUAUUUCAAGGAAACAUGAGGGGAGAACAGGAAAAGGGAGAUAAGAAGAAAUGAAGGAGGGAUCAAGAGGAGGAAAACAAUUUGUCAGCACAAUCUUUUAAAAACAGGUUUAUUUAUAAGGAUUUUCUUGUAUACAGAGGAAAACAACAAUACCCAAUGACAUUGCAGUUAUUAACUCAAGAAGCCUCCAGCGGAUUUGAACAUUUUAGCACAUCCUCUGCGUGCAUUUCAUUCCAUUUCUGAAUCAGGUCAAAAGUGCGGUAAUAUAAAUGACACAUUUGUAAUUGAAUAAAGAGUACAUCAAUAGCAGUCAUACAGUAAAUU